AAAAGUCAAAAAGAGGUAUACGAGCUGAGCUGAGGAGUGCUAAUACACACACGCGCGCUCGUACAGUCAAGGGCGGGCAAGUAGACACAACAUACACACACAUGAAUAACUUUAAUAAUCUUAUUGUAAUAGAGAAACUCUCUAUAAAAAAACAGAAUAGUAGGAUAUGCAGGACAGUAUGGAGGAUAUGCAGGAGCUUAAGCUCAUCACUUCUGAGAAUUCUCAUCGGUGUGGAUCUCGUGUGGUGGAACGGAACAAUAAAUCUGGACCCUUGCUUCUUCUCACUCACGGCUGGUGUCUUUUUUUCUAUCUCCAACUGGGCUCAGAGGUAGAUGUGAGUGUUGGCUUCUAUGUUGAAUUUUAAGUGUUUUUGGGUAAUAGGCUAUAUUUGAGCCAACAGAGGGGAGAGGUAAUAAAUAAACUUAUAAAUGUGAUUACUUGAUGACCGUAGACAGAACUCUAUAAAUGUGAAAUGUUUUGUUGAAGUUCAGAUGAAACUCUGAUGUACAGAAUCUUCAACAGAGUUCUGCAGAAAGAUUUUGAAUGCCUGUCAUUCACCAGAACAAAUUUGCAGUUGAACAGUCUGUCUAAAAGAAAAAAUCUAAACACACAAUAUAAAAUUCCUGCAGUGUGAAUAAAGCCUUUGUGUUGCUUUUAGCAAACAUGUCUAGUACUCUCGGUUCAAUGUACACAAUUUACCCCAUUUAAAUGCAUUUUGGAAAUUGUUCCACAUGGCCUUAAAGUGUGAAUAUUCACUGUAUGCCAAAUAAGUAAUCAAAGAAUGGAAUGGAUUUUUUCUUCUCUAAUGGACCAUUAAUCACAAUUAUAAAAGAUGAUGCAUCAGGUACAAAGUAUCAGGGUUUUUCCCCCCUCUUUUUCCCACAAUAGUUGCAUGAUUUUUGCUACACCCUUUCCACCGUGUGUGUGUGUGUGUGUGUGUGUGUGUGUGUGUGUGUGUGUGUGUGCGUGCGCGCGCGCGCUACAAAUCACUUUGAGGUAAAAAUAUUUUAAGGCAGCCACUUUCACCUUCCUACAACAAUUGGUGACUGGUCUGAGGUGAAGCUUCUUGUCAUGUUACUGUGGUCAUGGAUCACAUUGUGGGGAUCUCUGUAAUGUAACCGUUUCUGUAAUUAUCCUUACUUGCCUUUGCGCUUUUGUGCUUCUGUGUCUUCUGUUGGUGCUUUAUUCUGCUUUUUAGGGCCCGAGCACCGCUGCUGCAAAGCCCUAUUGGAUCUGCUGUUUAUUAUUGGGGCAGAGCACCGAAGGUGCAGCGCUUCCGGUGACCACCGGAUGUGCAGGGCCCUUUUGAUUUUCUGGUGUUUAUUGUUUAUUUCAUGCAUUCUUGUCGUUUUUAAGGACCUAAACAUGGCUGAAAACUCCCAAAACUCGGUAGACGCGCCAGCACCAGUGAAAAUGUAACUUACAUUGGGCAUGGGCAUGGUCGAGGAGCUCCUUAGCACCCCUGAAUGCAGACAAAGAUAUCAGUUAGAUUCAGCUUCGGACACAAGUUCCAGGUACUGAUCGAGAAGGAGUGGAUCAGCUUCGGACACAAGCUGGCCUCGCGUGUCGGCCUUGGAGAUGAGAAUCACGCCAACUCGGAACGAUCCCCUCUCUUUGUGCAGUUCAUCGACUGUGUGUGGCAGAUGAUGAGACAGAAAACUACAUGAACGUACAGGUGUUCCUAAUAAAGUGGACGGUGAGUGAACAUGACGUGGCUGAAACGAUUUCCAAAACACUUCAGGAGCAGCUAGCGAUAAAGAUUAAGGUUACACCGGCUUGAUGACUGAUCUUUUAAUAAUGAUACAUAAAUAAAUAGAAAGCGAAUGGAAUGAUUUAGAAAAUCGGUGUCCCAGAACGAAACUGAUGUUUGUGUGCUUUGUUGAUUAUGUAGAUGCCGCUCCAUCAGAAUCUGAGAGAGUUAUUGUUUUUGCGUGAAGAACGUGGAGGAGCUCCAGAGAGAGGCCACGUCAUCCUGCUCCAUCUCCUCAUCCUCAGAGCAUACUUCUCCCUCCUCACAUAGUGGAGGCGGUUCAGCUGGACGGAGAGAUCCUGCAUGCGCUGUGAAGCGAGUGUGUUCUGUGGCGUAUCGGCACCUGGACAAGCACAAGAUCGAGCCGGUGCUCUACAUGAUGGAGUGGUUCAUGUGCGCCUUCUCCAGAACUCUGCCCUGGGCCUCGGUCCUCCGAGUGUGGGACAUGUUCCUGUGUGACGGUCAGACACAAACACACACUUGUCCUUCUUUUCUUUCUGUGUUGAUUCUCUCUCUCAUUCUUUCUUUGUGUAGGAGUGAAAAUGAUAUUCUGUGUGGGUUUGGUGGUGUUGACGUCCAUGCUGGGUACUCGGGAUAAGCUCAAGGCCUGUCCGGGUCAGUAUGAGACCAUGGAGGUCCUCAGAGCGAUUGAGCCUAGAUACAUGCAGGAGGGCUUCUUAGUGCUCCAGGUAACACAACAGAGAGGAAGAGGAGGAGUAUGAUGAUGGGUGUCUCACUACUGGCCUAAUUCUAAAAUCACCACAUACCAAAUGCACAACCAUUUUGUCUUGCUGCCAUCACAAAAUAAUAAUGUUUAAACCUUAAGUAACAGAGUCACAGAGGGUGUAUAUAUUUUUCCACACUACAUGAAGUUUUGGGAUCCUUAUAGACUGUGGAACAGAAGUGUACUCAGUGUGUCUCCACCGUUUUAUUUCAUAUUGGAGUACAACCAUUUUUCUUUUUUACCAUUAAGGAUGAAACACUUGUUUCUUUUAAAACACCGUCUUUAAAUCUUUUUCUACCUCCUAACUAAACCCUCGGACUUAAGACACGAUCUUUGGAGCUGUUGACGCCCUGCUCAGGGUUAAACAACAACGUCUUUACAUUACCUUCAUUAAUAAAUUGUCAAUCUAUCCUCUUGGUUUUUUUAUUUUUUUUUUGGAGCAAAAGUCAGGUCCUCUCUCAUUUCAACAGGUCCUCUUGUUGGUGAAUACACAGCAAUCUUCUAAGGGUAUUAGGAUUUCUCGGAGCAGACAUUGUAGCAGAUAGUUGCAGAGUUUCUUCUGUGUUUUAACCACAACGUCUUAACCAUUAUUUUAACACUGAGACACACGACUCCCUUUAAUUCAUUAACAAACACAUUUGUAAGAAUUCUGGUCAGCAACAGCCCCGAAAGAACACCUGUGUGUCUCUCUCUCUCUCUCUCUCUCUCUCUCUCUCUCUCUCUCUCUCUCUCUCUCUCUCACACCCACCCCCACACACCCACAUGGUCAUCAGAGGUCAUAAAUGUACUGCUGGGACACGGGAUGUCGAAGCAUAGACGAAAGCUUAUGUAUUUAGCGACAGUUCUGUGUAAGUAUCCUCGUUGGCGAACCAUUUUCUGAAAUCUUGUUUAUAGUUUAAACAAAAUGCACGACUCUUUUAAAACACCGUCUUUAAAAAAGGUUUUUCACCCUUAAAAUAACCUGGUUAGAAGGUAGGAUAUGUAAUACAUAUUUUCAUUUUCUUCAGGCAUAUUGUCACUUCAGUCUUCACAACGAAUAACACCGAAGGUUUUGACCUUUCUUUCAGUAAAAGAGAACAACGACAUCAUACAGCCUUGAAGGACUGUAGAAAUUUUUAUUUUACAUCCUAAAGGGUUAGGUUUAGAAGGCAUGUAAUACGCGCGUUUCUUAUAAAACACCGUCUUUAAAACGUUUACCUCCUAAAGGGACCUAUUUAGAAUGUAUGUAAAAACUUUUUUUUUUUUUUUUUAUAUUUCUUCGGGUAUAUCAAUGUUUUAGAGUAUUUAUUUCAGUAAAUUUUUAUUCAAAGUCAUUUGACUUUGAAUGUCACAUUCAACCAUCAUGUAUUUUCUAACAGCGGAGCUAUACAAAACAAACCCCCACAAUCUAAAUUUAAUGUGUGGUUGCGAGAUAAAAAUUCUAAUUUAUUGAAUUAAUUAAAUAUUUAAAGUUGUACACAUUAUUUUGAUGAGUUGUGUUGACAUAAUAAUGUUGAUAAUUACAUCAACUUAAUGCAGAAAUUACACACAAUAUUAAUUGAUUUAAAACAAAAUUUACGUCGUAGUACAUUUACAUUUAUUCAUUUAACAGAGUGUUAGAGGACCUGUAGACUGAACAAAUACUAAGGACAUUACAAUGUGAUUAUCAUUUCACUUACAAUUAAAUUCUACUAAAGCAAUGAAUUUGGGGCAUGUUCUCAAUUGUGAUAUGACCAAUAGUGGACUCGUGUAUAGGCUACACCUGCUAAUACAUUUGAUGGAUUAUUUUGCACUACUACACGUAGCUAAUGCUAGUCAUAUUUAGCAGUGUAAUUUGAAUAUCUACUCUUUAGUUUACCGUAGCAGUGGAUAAGAAGGAAAAAAGUUUCAUUUGACAAAUCUGCUCUUCUAGAGAGGGCUUUUCAUUUGUGCUAUAGGAAAGAUAAGCAUGAUUACAUUUCUGCUUAUUCAUGUAAACCUCAACUACAUUGUGUAAUCUAAUUUCAUGUAUUGAUACAUUUUUUAUUUUAUUUUUUAAAAUCUUUUGUCAUUUGCACACGUAGCCUUCUAGCUCCACAGCCUUUGGACUGUGGAUAGUAGAUAAAAGUAGUAGACACAGUGUGCAAUAUGU